GAUGAACGCUAGCUACAGGCUUAACACAUGCAAGUCGAGGGGUAACGAGAGGGAAGCUUGCUUUCCUUGUCGACGACCGGCGCACGGGUGAGUAACGCGUAUCCAACCUGCCCCCAACUAGGGAAUAACCUUGCGAAAGUAAGACUAAUACCCUAUAAUUUCCUCAGAUGUCAUCUGACGAGGAAUAAAGAUUUAUCGGUUGUGGAUGGGGAUGCGUCUGAUUAGCUUGUUGGCGGGGUAACGGCCCACCAAGGCAACGAUCAGUUGGGGUUCUGAGAGGAAGGUCCCCCACAUUGGAACUGAGACACGGUCCAAACUCCUACGGGAGGCAGCAGUGAGGAGUAUUGGUCAAUGGGCGGAAGCCUGAACCAGCCAAGUAGCGUGCAGGAUGACGGCCCUAUGGGUUGUAAACUGCUUUUAUACAGGAAUAAAGUUAGCCACGUGUGGUUAUUUGUAGGUACUGUAUGAAUAAGGACCGGCUAAUUCCGUGCCAGCAGCCGCAGUAA
rnacentral:rRNA from 1 species